rnacentral:rRNA from 1 species
AGAACGAACGCUGGCGGCAUGCCUAAUACAUGCAAGUCGAACGAAGGCUUCGGCCUUAGUGGCGCACGGGUGCGUAACGCGUGGGAAUCUGCCCCUUGGUUCGGAAUAACAGUUGGAGACGACUGCUAAUACCGGAUGAUGACGAAAGUCCAAAGAUUUAUCGCCAAGGGAUGAGCCCGCGUAGGAUUAGCUAGUUGGUGAGGUAAAGGCUCACCAAGGCGACGAUCCUUAGCUGGUCUGAGAGGAUGAUCAGCCACACGUGGGACUGAGACACGGCCCAGACUCCUACGGG